rnacentral:sRNA from 1 species
CUUGAAUAGCCAUUAGAAAAAACUGUUCGACCAGGGAAGUUCAGAGUCCCCAGAGAAGUCAAGUUGUCAUCUCCAGAUCCUUGGCACCUAUUCCAAUUUUCGGAACCAACGGGAAUUGGUGGAAUGACAUUAAAAAUAGGCUUCUGAUCCUGCUGUUGAGAAAGGGAUGCUGUAUUCAUGUCAUAGUGGUACAUCUGUCCUCCAGAGGUACUCACACCAUGAACAGAAAUGGCAGACAUUUUAUUACCAAUUAUAUUUGCUCCAGGAAAGCUUGCCUGACAGUAAACUGUGCCCAGUUUCUCUUGCUUAAUUACCCCAGGGGUGCAGAGUUCGAUGAAAUCUUCUUUUUCUGUUUUCACUUGGGGCAGUGUUACAUUACUGGGGCUUGACAAAACCAGAUCUCCAUUAUCCUUAAUUUUGGGUUUAGUGUCCGGUAAAAUGAGAGGCUUGCAGUCCUCAUUCGAGUUUCCUUCCAAAAGGAAUGAAUCGUCUUCUCCCGCCAGAGGAGAAAGCAAACAGUUUUCAUCUAUCAACAGGUCUGAUCUCCAAGGACUCUCAUUCGUCUCUUUACCUGGGGACCCAGAAGAAAACUCCAAAUCCUGCAAAAUGUCAAAGGUGCUUUGGUCUGUGGUAUACAAUUUCACAUUGCCACCGUUGGUGCCAGUCUGGCCCUUCAAAUGUUGCUGUUCUGAAGAUACAUCAGAGUGAGUUUUUGGAAACUCCUUCUCUGUGGGGGCAGCAGACACAGCAGUGGAUGCUGAACUCUUGGGGUUCUCUGGAACACUGGUCGACCUAUUGAGGUUUGCAAUGCUUUCUUCCAAAAGCUUUAAGUCUGUUUCCCCCGAGGAAAGGCUGAUUUGGCCCUGCUGUGGGAAUCCCAGGUCAUUUCCCAUCACUUUUGUUUCUGUCUCUCCCAUAUACAGUCCCAUUGAGAGUGAAACUGCUUUGGACAGAUCUGGCUGCUGCGCAUUGCUUACUGAGCCUUUUGGAAAAUCAACCAAAAGUCUUCGCUGCUUGGAGUCUGAUUGAGAAGCGACAGCCAGUGAGGGUGAAGACGCAGAAACCUUCACAGUAGCUCCUCCUCUUAGGGUUUUAUAGAAGUCCAUCACAUCUCCCCUCUCCUGAGCAAGCACACUGCUGGGGUUUUCUUCUCUACCAGGAGUUAAUGAUUCUUUGGAGUCCAUCAGUGAAUAUCAA